rnacentral:misc_RNA from 1 species
GAUGAAGAACGUAGCGAAAUGCGAUAAGUAAUGUGAAUUGCAGAAUUCAGUGAAUCAUCGAAUCUUUGAACGCACAUUGCGCCCGCUAGUAUUCUGGCGGGCAUGCCUGUUCGAGCGUCAUUUCAACCAUCAAGCCUCAGGCUUGUGUUGGAGCCCUGCGGCUGCCGCAGCCUCCCAAAACCAGUGGCGGGCUCGCUAUCACACCGAGUGCAGUAGUUUACUCUUCGCUCAGGGCGUGUGGCGGGUGCUAGCCGUGAAACCCCCAACUUCUCAAGGUUGACCUCGGAUCAGGUAGGAAUACCCGCUGAACUUAAGCAUAUCAAUAAGCGGAGGA